GAUGAACGCUAGCGGCAGGCCUAACACAUGCAAGUCGAGGGGUAGAGGAAGCUUGCUUCCUUGAGACCGGCGCACGGGUGCGUAACGCGUAUGCAAUCUACCUUUUACAGAGGGAUAGCCCAGAGAAAUUUGGAUUAAUACCUCAUAGUAUAUAUCAUUCGCAUGUUUGGUAUAUUAAAGUUCCAACGGUAAAAGAUGAGCAUGCGUCCCAUUAGUUAGUUGGUAAGGUAACGGCUUACCAAGACGAUGAUGGGUAGGGGUCCUGAGAGGGAGAUCCCCCACACUGGAACUGAGACACGGACCAGACUCCUCCGGGAGGCAGCAGUGAGGAAUAUUGGUCAAUGGACGCAAGUCUGAACCAGCCAUGCCGCGUGCAGGAAGACGGUCCUAUGGAUUGUAAACUGCUUUUGUACGGGAAGAAACACUCCUACGUGUAGGAGCCUGACGGUACCGUAAGAAUAAGGAUCGGCUAACUCCGUGCCAGCCGCCGCGGUAACAC
rnacentral:rRNA from 1 species